CUUAUAUUAGGUGCCUAGAAGAGUCAAAUACACAGACACAGAAAUAGAACGGUGGUUGCCAGGGGUUGAAGGGAGGGGGAAAUGUGGAAUUGUUGUUUAAUGGACACUGAGUUUCAGUUUUUACAGGAUGAAAAAGUUCCGGAGAUGGAUGGUGUUGAUGGCCACACAACAACGUGGAUGUACUGAAUGCCACCGAACUUCAACUUGUUGUUGACUGGUGGUUUUCAUCUUUCACAAGUGGCCUGCUGUCAAUGCUCCUAGAACAACCAGAAACACAAGUGCUUCCUGGUCCCCCUGGCACCUCAAACGUCAUUGCCCUGUUUUUGAGAGGUCGCUAGUCUUGGACGUCAGGUGUCUCAGUCAGAAUUCCUAGUGACAAGAAAUAGAAACCAAAUCCAGCUCA